rnacentral:rRNA from 1 species
AGAACGAACGCUGGCGGCAGGCCUAACACAUGCAAGUCGAGCGCGCCUUCGGGUGAGCGGCGGACGGGUGAGUAACACGUGGGAAUAUGCCUUUCGGUGCGGAAUAGUCUUGGGAAACUGAGGGUAAUACCGCAUACGCCCCUUGGGGGAAAGAUUUAUCGCCGAAAGAUUAGCCCGCGUUGGAUUAGGUAGUUGGUGGGGUAAUGGCCUACCAAGCCGACGAUCCAUAGCUGGUUUGAGAGGAUGAUCAGCCACACUGGGACUGAGACACGGCCCAGACUCCUACGGGAGGCAGCAGUGGGGAAUCUUAGACAAUGGGGGCAACCCUGAUCUAGCCAUGCCGCGUGAGUGAUGAAGGCCUUAGGGUUGUAAAGCUCUUUCAGCUGGGAAGAUAAUGACGGUACCAGACAGAAGAAGCCCCGGCUAACUCCGUGCCAGCAGCCGCGGUAAUACGGAGGGGGCUAGCGUUGUUCGGAAUUACUGGGCGUAAAGCGCACGUAGCGGACCAGAAAGUUGGGGGUCAAAUCCCGGGGKUCAACCCCGGAACUGCCUUCAAAACUAUUGGUCUGGAGUUCGAGAGAGGUGAGUGGAAUACCGAGUGUAGAGGUCAAAUUCGUAGAUAUUCGGUGGAACACCAGUGGCGAAGGCGGCUCACUGGCUCGAUACUGACGCUUGAG